AUUCGAACUGUCUCACAGCUCAAAGAGCACGAGCAUCUUUUUUGUUGGCUACAGGACUCUUGCCUCCGAAGUUGACCCACAAUUCUCUGAUUCUGAUUUUGAUUCUGAGGAUGAGCUCAUUGAACUUCCCCAAAAUGCUAAUGGAAAGCCUGAGAAGGAAGGCAAAAAGGAUGAUGCCAAGCUUGUCUCUGGACAAGGAGAAGGUUUACCAAAGAAGUCGAAAGUGAAGGUAGAAGAACCAAAAGCUGCUAAACCAAAGCCUGGGGAG
rnacentral:misc_RNA from 1 species